UCCGGGCCCUCGGGCCGUCGUCAGCCCUCUCCAUGAGGCUGCUGGCUUUGGUCCGCGCGACACCGACGCGGGGAGCGCGCUUCGCGCUGACUCAGCGGCGACGGCCGUGGCGGCGUUAGCCGGCCCUCACGCUCUUAUCCUUCCUGGGGCGCCAACCCCGCCCGCCAGCUUGCUAGCUUGCUAGCUUGCCUGCCCGGCGCCACGCAAGAGAAGGCGCCAGGAGACGCAGAGCGGCGAGAGGCGCGCGGCCCCGGCCAGCUCCGUCUCCAGCGUUAGCGCCGCGGCCGUGGCGGAGGACGACGAGGACGAGGGCCGCUCUUCUCGCUCCCUGCUUGCGGCGCGGCUCCACUGACCGGCCCUCGGGAGUGCAGGCGGGCAGGCGGGAUGGAGUGAUAGGGAAGAUGUUUGUGGAUUCUUCUGUGGGAUUAGAGGGCACGCCUAUUGUAAUCAGAAAACUCCAAGUAUAGCAGCAGGAAUGGAUGAACAGGCUCUCUUAGGUCUAAAUCCAAAUGCUGAUUCAGACUUCAGACAAAGGGCCCUGGCCUAUUUUGAACAGUUAAAGAUUUCCCCAGAUGCCUGGCAGGUGUGUGCAGAAGCUCUGGCUCAGAGGACAUACAGUGAUGAUCAUAUUAAGUUUUUCUGCUUCCAAGUACUGGAACAUCAAGUUAAAUACAAAUAUUCAGAACUAACCACUGUUCAACAACAACUAAUUAGAGAGACGCUCGUAUCUUGGCUUCAAGCUCAGAUGCUGAAUCCCCAACCAGAGAAGACCUUCAUACGAAAUAAAGCUGCCCAAGUCUUCGCCUUGCUUUUUGUUACAGAAUAUCUCACUAAAUGGCCCAAAUUUUUUUUUGACAUUCUCUCAGUAGUGGACCUAAAUCCAAGGGGAGUAGAUCUGUACCUCCGAAUUCUCAUGGCUAUUGAUUCAGAGUUGGUGGAUCGUGAUGUGGUUCACACCUCAGAGGAGGCUCGUAGGAAUACUCUCAUAAAGGAUACCAUGAGGGAACAGUGCAUUCCAAACUUGGUGGAAUCAUGGUACCAAAUCCUACAAAAUUAUCAGUAUACCAAUUCAGAAGUGACAUGCCAGUGCCUUGAAGUAGUUGGGGCUUAUGUCUCUUGGAUAGACUUAUCCCUUAUAGCCAAUGAUAGGUUUAUAAAUAUGCUGCUAGGUCAUAUGUCAAUAGAAGUUCUACGGGAAGAAGCAUGUGAUUGUUUAUUUGAAAUUGUAAAUAAAGGAAUGGAUCCUGUUGAUAAAAUGAAACUGGUAGAAUCUUUGUGUCAAGUGUUACAGUCUGCUGGGUUUUUCAGCAUUGACCGGGAAGAAGAUGUUGACUUCCUAGCCAGAUUUUCUAAACUGGUCAAUGGAAUGGGACAGUCAUUGAUAGUUAGCUGGACUAAAUUAAUCAAAAAUGGAGAUAUCAAAAAUGCUCAGGAGGCACUGCAAGCUAUUGAAACAAAGGUGGCGCUGAUGUUGCAGCUCCUAAUUCAUGAGGAUGAUGACAUCUCUUCUAACAUUAUUGGAUUUUGUUACGAUUAUCUUCAUAUUUUGAAACAGCUUACAGUGCUUUCAGAUCAACAAAAAGCUAAUGUAGAGGCAAUCAUGUUGGCCGUUAUGAAAAAAUUAACUUACGAUGAAGAAUAUAACUUUGAAAAUGAGGGUGAAGACGAAGCCAUGUUUGUAGAAUAUAGAAAACAACUGAAGUUAUUGUUGGACAGGCUGGCUCAAGUUUCACCAGAGUUACUGCUGGCUUCUGUUCGCAGAGUGUUCAGUUCUACACUGCAGAACUGGCAGACUACACGGUUUAUGGAAGUUGAAGUGGCAAUAAGAUUGCUGUAUAUGUUGGCAGAAGCUCUUCCAGUAUCCCAUGGUGCUCACUUCUCAGGUGAUGUUUCAAAAGCUAGUGCUUUGCAGGAUAUGAUGCGCACUCUGGUGACAUCAGGAGUUAGUUCCUAUCAGCACACAUCUGUGACAUUGGAGUUCUUCGAAACGGUUGUUAGAUACGAAAAGUUUUUCACAGUUGAACCUCAGCACAUUCCAUGUGUACUAAUGGCUUUCUUAGAUCACAGGGGUCUGCGGCACUCUAGUGCUAAAGUCCGGAGCAGAACUGCUUACCUAUUCUCCAGAUUUGUUAAAUCUCUCAAUAAACAAAUGAAUCCUUUCAUUGAGGAUAUUCUGAAUAGAAUACAAGAUUUAUUAGAGCUUUCUCCACCUGAGAAUGGUUACCAGUCCUUGUUGAGCAGCGACGAUCAAUUAUUUAUCUAUGAGACAGCUGGAGUGCUAAUUGUUAAUAGUGAGUAUCCAGCAGAGCGGAAGCAGGCAUUAAUGAGGAAUCUGUUGACUCCACUCAUGGAGAAGUUUAAAAUUCUGUUAGAAAAAUUGAUGCUGGCACAGGACGAAGAAAGGCAGGCAUCUCUAGCAGACUGUCUCAACCAUGCUGUUGGAUUUGCUAGUCGAACCAGCAAAGCUUUCAGCAACAAGCAGACUGUGAAGCAGUGUGGCUGCUCGGAAGUUUACCUGGACUGUUUACAGACAUUCUUGCCAGCUCUCAGCUGUCCCUUACAAAAGGAUGUUCUCAGAAGUGGGGUCCGCACUUUCCUUCACCGCAUGAUUAUUUGCCUGGAGGAAGAAGUCCUUCCCUUCAUUCCAUCCGCUUCAGAACACAUGCUCAAAGACUGUGAAGCAAAGGACCUCCAGGAAUUCAUCCCUCUCAUCAACCAGAUCACAGCCAAAUUUAAGAUACAGGUAUCCCCAUUUUUACAACAAAUGUUCAUGCCUCUUCUUCAUGCAAUUUUUGAAGUUUUGCUCCGACCAGCAGAAGAAAAUGACCAAUCUGCUGCUUUAGAGAAGCAGAUGUUGCGGAGGAGUUACUUUGCUUUCCUGCAAACAGUCACAGGCAGUGGAAUGAGUGAAGUCAUAGCAAAUCAAGGUGCAGAGAAUGUAGAACGAGUGCUGGUUACUGUUAUUCAAGGAGCAGUCGAAUAUCCAGAUCCCAUUGCUCAGAAAACAUGUUUUAUUAUCCUUUCCAAGUUGGUAGAACUCUGGGGAGGUAAAGAUGGACCAGUGGGAUUUGCUGAUUUUGUUUAUAAGCACAUUGUCCCCGCAUGUUUCCUAGCACCUUUAAAACAAACCUUUGACCUGGCAGAUGCACAAACAGUAUUGGCUUUAUCUGAGUGUGCGGUGACACUGAAAACAAUUCAUCUCAAACGGGGCCCAGAAUGUGUUCAGUAUCUUCAACAGGAAUACCUGCCUUCCUUGCAAGUAGCUCCAGAGAUAAUUCAGGCCAAGCUCACCUGUGCUUAGCUUGUGAAUUUGAAAUCAUAUUUUGAGGUAAGUGGCACAUCAUUUUUAUGAUGGCAUUCAGUUGUUUUCUGAGCAUCUAGUUAUCCAGACCUCUUGUGCAGUAGCACAUAGUUCUAACGAGCUAUCAGAGUCCCGAUUGAAACUCGAGUUAGGAUCUCUUGUGUAGAUUCUAAGGAUUGUUUCUUCAUCAAUAGUAUUUUAUAAUGCUGUUUGUAAGAGGCACUGGAAAAACUGAGUGAAAGAUAGACCUCACAUAAGAGUGCUCACAAAAUUCAUUUUUAAUGAAUUUAUGAUCUCUAGUUUUAUGACAUAUCUUUAACUUGGAUAUUAAUUUUCUCACUUACCAUUUGUUAGAUAAGUAAAUUAAUAUUUUAUAAAAACUAUGUUACUAAUUACUUAUGAUCUUAAUGCAUCAGAAACAGAAGUAUACCAUUCAAUUUUGAAUAGCUCAAAUAGUUUCCUAUUCCUAAACAAAGCUAUAUAUAUAUAUAUAUAUUUCUGUCUAAUAAUUUGCUUGUAAAAGAUAAUGAUUCCCAGUUUUCCUUUUCUCGUAUGCCAUCUGACUGCGCCUCUUGCACAGCUCUAUUGGAGAGAAUUUUCUCUUUCUCAUUUGCUCUGGCUCCUCACAGUUACCCUUUUGCUAGAUGAGAGCAGCUAUAACCAUGUAAUCUCUGUCCCACUCGCCCUUCUGAGGCAAGAGUCAGUCUGCCCCAGAACAGCUGUGUUCUCUAGAGUGAAAACAGCCUGGCUGAAAAGCAUUACCUUUGGAAAUGUCAUAUAACCUUUUUGGAGUUUUGUCAAGCCCUUCAGCAGCCUGAUGCUAAAGUUUUUAAAAACUACUUAAAGGUGUUCUUCCAGAGAGCAAAGCCCUGAGGACUAGAUCUCCCCGUGCCUACUUCAUGAUCAGGAAUUCCAGUUAAUAAUUUAUAAAGAAACAAUUUUUUGUGUGCCGUUCACACUGGUCUUUUUAACAUUGCUUUGAGCUUAUUGCAGUAUAUGUAUUGGGAUUUUUUUCUGUAAAAUGGGUGUAAUUUUCCCUAAAUUACAGGUAUGUGACAACAUAGAGAAGUUGCAUGCCAAUUAAAUCGUUCUAUAUAAAAAGGCUGUUGUAAGAUACAGCAGAGUUAUCCUAGUACCUUUUUUUUUAACUUGAAACUUUUAAGUCCUUUAUAAAGACCAUAGCAAGAAAGCAGUGUACUUCUUUUUCAUUACUGAAUAUAAAAUGUUUGAAAAUUUAAAUUUUUGUUUUAUGUGUGCAGACUCAUAAACUGUUUCAUUUAUGUGUGCAGACUCAUAAAAAAGUGGGGGGAAUAAAAUCAAAAUUAACUUUUUUGUAGAUAGCUAUUACAUUUCCUUAAACUGUUUCAAUGCCAAUGUGUAUUCUACAAAACAGAAUGGUUUCAUAAAUUAACUGAUUGAAGAGUAGGUGCUGGUGUUAUACAUUUUUUAUAAAAAAAAAAAGCAAAUAAAUUUUACGUAGUGAAAUACA